rnacentral:siRNA from 1 species
UGUGUAAUGCUUUCCUGUGGU